ACGGAAUGAAACUUCGGUCGAAUGAAGUAAAUGAAAGCGGCGAAAGGGAGAGUAACGCGUGGAUAUCUGCCCUUGGCUCCAGGAUAGCUAUGGGAAACUGUGGGUAAUACUGGAUAAUAUCUCCGGAUCAAAGGUGUGAUUCCGGCCAAGGAUGAGUCCGCGUCCUAUUAGGUUGUUGGCGGGGUAAUGGCCCACCAAGCCGAAGAUGGGUACCGGGUGUGAGAGCAUGGCCCGGCUCACUGGGACUGAGACACUGCCCAGACGUCUACGGACGGCUGCAGUCGAGAAUCUUCCGCAAUGGACGAAAGUCUGACGGAGCGACGCCGCGUGCGGGAUGAAGGCCCUCGGGUUGUAAACCGCUGUCAGUUGGGAGGAAAUGCUAUGGGGUUCUCUCCAUAGCUUGACCGAUCUUCAGAGGAAGUACGGGCUAAGUACGUGCCAGCAGCCGCGGUAAUACGUACCGUACGAACGUUAUUCGGAAUCACUGGGCUUAAAGAGUCCGUAGGCGGCUAUGUAGGUCAGGUGUGAAAUCCCACGGCUCAACCGUGGAACUGCGCUUGAAACCAUGUGGCUAGAGGGAGAUAGAGGAAAGCGGAACUGAUGGUGGAGCGGUGAAAUGCGUUGAUAUCAUCAGGAACACCGGUGGCGAAAGCGGCUUUCUGGGUCUCUUCUGACGCUGAGGGACGAAAGCUAGGGGAGCGAACGGGAUUAGAUACCCUGGUA
rnacentral:rRNA from 1 species